CACUGUUGUAGCAGCAGCACACCAGCUGUGCUCCGCAUGGUGCAUGUGGCCCCAGUGCCAGGGCUGUGCCAGGGCAUGUGCAGGUGCAAGGGAGACAUUUGCCACUCAGAACACCAUCUCUGCAUCUUUAGGGAGGUAUUCAACAGGUGGCACUUGGUGCAGGCCAUUUCAGAGGGUGUACAUACUAUGCUCUUGGUGGGACUCCUGCAGUCCUUGGUCUAGGUAGAAAACCAGCCCAAUAGCUGCACCUUCAACAUUAUUCUUGACUUCUGGAGACAGGUAUUGGAUUGCAUGUGUGAUGAAUGGGAAAAAUAAUGUAAAACUGCUGACAAAUGUAGUUAAAUUUAUGCUUUCAGGUUUUACACUGCAUUGGAUGAAAUGUGGCUGACAUGCCAGAAGGCUGUGCUGCCAUUCAGCAGGACCUGGACAGGCUGGAGAACUAGGUGAACAAGGCCAAGAGAUUUCUGCUGCCAUGGAAUGCCAUGAGCUUCAUGCACAGAAUCCUCUGGGAUUGUCAGUCACAGCAACAGUGAAAUCAGAACUGUGAUUGGCAGGAGGCACUUAUGCCGUUGAUGAGAAACUCGCAGGAGCAAACAUGGAG
ensembl:lncRNA